GACGGAGGAUGCAAGCGUUAUCCGGAAUGAUUGGGCGUAAAGCGUCCGCAGGUGGCAGUUCGAGUCUGCUGUCAAAGACCGGGGCUUAACUUCGGAAAGGCAGUGGAAACUGAACAGCUAGAGUAUGGUAGGGGCAGAGGGAAUUCCUGGUGUAGCGGUGAAAUGCGUAGAGAUCAGGAAGAACAUCGGUGGCGAAGGCGCUCUGCUGGACCAUAACUGACACUCAGGGACGAAAGCUAGGGGAGCGAAUGGG
rnacentral:rRNA from 1 species